UACGGAGGGGGCAAGCGUUGUCCGGAUUUACUGGGCGUAAAGAGCACGUAGGUGGUCUGUUAAGUCGGCUGUGAAAGCGCUGGGCUCAACCCAGCAAUGUCAGUCGAUACUGAUAGACUCGAGUCCGGGAGAGGGAAGUGGAAUAGCUGGUGUAGCGGUGGAAUGCGUAGAUAUCAGCUAGAACACCGGUGGCGAAGGCGGCUUCCUGGACCGGUACUGACGCUGAGGUGCGAAAGCUAGGGGAGCGAACGGG
rnacentral:rRNA from 1 species